GUUUAGGGGUAAACCUGAGAAACCCGAAAGGUCGAAGGGAGAAAUUCAUUCGCGUUUUGACGUUAACAUUGGAUGGUGUUUGUGUGACGAAAUUUUGAAUGUGCAUCUCGUGUGUAUAUUCGUUUUUCGCACCCGCUAUUCAAUGAGUUCGACGACAAACGUGUGCACUUUUCUCCUGGUAGGACGUCGCAAUCCGUUGGACGUUGGUCUACGGCACACAGUGGAGCCCGUUUAUCGCACUUUGUGUUUGUAUAGACGAACCUGUGUGUGUUUCCUGGCCAACUUGUUCGACGGUAUAAAUAUGGUUUGAGACCGCUCUCAUUAUUAUGGAGCGUCUGACUUAUGACAAGCGCGUCAGAUGUUUGUUGGCAAUCGGACCUAGUGCCGAUUCUGACCUCUGAUGACUGUUGGUUAUAAUGUUCUUGGACAGAUCUCAUGGGAAACUUAAUUGUUUCUUAACCGUUUAGCGGCGCUAUAGCUUUGGGUAAUUUCAGGACCCGUCUUGAAACACGGACCAAGGAGUCUAGCAUGUACGCGAGUCAUUGGGAUUUUAAUGAAACCUAAAGGCGUAAUGAAAGUAAAGAUUUUCCUUGCGAAGAUCGAGGGAAGAUGAGUAUUUAUUUAUUUAAAUGCUUCGCACUCCCGGGGCGUCUCAUUCUCAUUACGAGUCGAGGCGCACCAAGAGCGUACACGCUGGGACCCGAAAGAUGGUGAACUAUGCCUGGUCAGGACGAAGUCAGGGGAAACCCUGAUGGAGGUCCGUAGCGAUUCUGACGUGCAAAUCGAUCGUCGGAACUGGGUAUAGGGGCGAAAGACUAAUCGAACCAUC
rnacentral:rRNA from 1 species